GACCACCUCUGCGUUAAUACCUUGAUAUCGAAAAGGGCACCACAUGUGUUAGGCUGCUCAUAAUGGAAGUAACCUAGGUAAUAACAUAAGAUGCCAAUUAGGCAUUUUGGUGACAUGGCAAGGUAUUAAAUUAAAAAAAAAAGAAAUGGUAACUAAAUAUGUUACCAUAACAUCACACAAAUCAAAGCAAGAUGAGUCUACAACCUAAUAAAUGACAUAAUGCAUGGCACCACAUAUAUGUUACUACCUACUAUGAAGGUGGUAAUUUAGACUAAUAACAUAUACAUGUUACUAUUCUAUGUUACUUUCCACUAUGACCAGCCUUAUGGGCACUGAAUCGGCUUCUGCUGUUGUAAAAAAAAACUAGAGACUUGCGGU
rnacentral:lncRNA from 1 species